AUACGGGGGAUUCAAGCGUUAUCCGGACUUAUUGGGUUUAAAGGGUGCGUAGGCUGAUAAAUCAGUCAGCGGUGAAAUUUACGGGCUUAACUUGUAGCUUGCCGUUGAAACUAUUUAUCUAGAGAUAUUUCGGCGUAUGCGGAAUGUAUCAAGUAGCGGUGAAAUGCAUAGAUAUGCUACAGAACACCAAUCGCGAAGGCAGCAUACGAGGCAUCAUCUGACGCUGAUGCACGAAAGCGUGGGGAUCAAACAGGAUUAGAUACCCUGGUAGUCCACGCAGUAAACGAUGAUUACUAGUUGUUUGCGAUACAAUGUAAGCGACUGAGCGAAAGCGUUAAGUAAUCCGCCUGGGGAGUACGUUCGCAAGAAUGAAACUCAAAGGAAUUGACGGGG
rnacentral:rRNA from 1 species